rnacentral:lncRNA from 1 species
UCUCAAUUUGAAUGAUUACCUGGUCUAAUUAAACGUUAAAAAGAAAUUAGUGCCUAAUGGGGUAAAGGUUUUUCUCAUGAGUAAAUUAUCGAUUUUUUUAUGAGUCCUUAUUAUUAGGCAUUCCCUUUAUGGGUUAGCCAUGAAUGUGUAGAAGAAGCAGUAUAUUGAUAAAGAAAAGAUAUUUUUUUCCAAAAUCAAAAGAGCGAUUGGGUUGAAAAAAUAAAGGAUUUCUAACCGUCUUCUUAUCCUAUAACGAACAUAAAUAAAUUAGAUGGCAAAAGAAAAGAUAGGAUAGAGAAUCCGUUGAUGAAUCCGCCUGUCUCCGAGGUAUCUAUUCUUUUCUUACUAUAAUACCUUGUUUUGACUGUAUCGCACUAUGUAUCAUUUAAUAACCGAAUAGAUCCCCUAUCUUUGGUUCAAAUCGAAUUUGAAAUGGAGGAAUUUCAAGUAUAUUUAGAACUAAAUAGAUCCCGCCGACACGAC